rnacentral:lncRNA from 1 species
CAAGACAGGACUCCACAUCCUAUCCUAGUGGACAUGACCUUCCUAUUGUGCUUGACCUUCUAGAACAUCUAUGAGCCCGACACUCUAGGUCCGAUCCUAUGAACCUAGGGCUCUGAUACCAUUCUGUAACGACCCGAAAAUCGGACCGCUACCGGCGCUAGGAUCCGGGUCGACUUAAGGCCGCCGGGACCCGUAGCAAGCCAAACAUACAUCCUGG